rnacentral:rRNA from 1 species
GACGAACGCUGGCGGCGUGCCUAAUACAUGCAAGUCGAGCGAACCUUGAGGAGCUUGCUCCUCAAGGUUAGCGGCGGACGGGUGAGUAACACGUGGGCAACCUGCCUGUAAGACUGGGAUAACACCGGGAAACCGGUGCUAAUACCGGAUAAUCCUUCACCUCUCAUGAGGUGAAGCUGAAAGUCGGUUUCGGCUGACACUUACAGAUGGGCCCGCGGCGCAUUAGCUAGUUGGUGAGGUAACGGCUCACCAAGGCGACGAUGCGUAGCCGACCUGAGAGGGUGAUCGGCCACACUGGGACUGAGACACGGCCCAGACUCCUACGGGAGGCAGCAGUAGGGAAUCUUCCGCAAUGGACGAAAGUCUGACGGAGCAACGCCGCGUGAGUGAUGAAGGCCUUCGGGUCGUAAAACUCUGUUGUUAGGGAAGAACAAGUAUCGGAGUAACUGCCGGUACCUUGACGGUACCUAACCAGAAAGCCACGGCUAACUACGUGCCAGCCGCCGCCGUAAUAC